rnacentral:lncRNA from 1 species
CCACCGCCCCCUGAUCACCGAUCAUCACCCUGGGUGACUUUCUCAAUGACUCAUCUGCUUCCCUGGCCCACGUGUUCCACUAAGAACGGUCCACGUGACUAUCUGUUGCUGAUGUCACCGACUACCGAUGACCGACCGGAUCAGUAACUAAUUAUUUUGAUUUCUAAAAUUAAUAUUUAUUUAAUGAUUUUCUUGUAGUGAUAUCGUUUUCACCUUUUUAUAACAAUUAAAAUUUAAUUGGUUUAAUUUAUAAACUAUAUUGAGUUUCAAAUUGAUUGUAAAAACCAAUAUUGGAGUUUAUUUGUAUUUUUUUUUGUCUAGAAUGAAAAUUUGGUGCAAUUAGCUGGAGGUAUUCUUAGAGAAAGACCAAAUUUCCCAAAGAAGAUAAUUGGUAGAAGGAACUUUCAGUGGAAAAAGUGUUGAAGAGGAUAAAUUCAUAUGAAUGAACCUAAAAUUAAAUAGAGAAAAGUUUAAAACGAUGAAUGCCAAGAAGUAGACAGAAAUUCAGACGUAUAAAUAUAAUUGGAAUUUUGACCACAACUUUUAUUUAAUCCCUCCAUGGUUACUUUCUUCUACCAACUCUGGUUGGUCUUAGGUUUCUUAGUGUUUUUGUUGAAACCUCUUUGUUAAAAAACUUAUCAUGAUUCAUCUCUAAUAGUACUACAUGUGAUGUGAUAUAUCUAUCUCUUUUAUAUUUGAAAACAAAGAUUCUUUUCUUUUGGAAUAUAAAUUAUAUAUAGUUGGGGCAAUUGUUUCCUUCACCAAUCAUUCACAUGAAAUGACUAAAAUGUCAUUUUUAAUUUUUAAAUAGGAGUGGAGUUACUAAUCAAAAUUAUUCUGAGUCUGGCAUUCUGAAAUCCAUUUGAGAUCUGAAUUUCUGAAACAUCUUUCUAGAUUAGGUUUUCCUGAAAAAACUUUUUAGAAUAAUAUUUUUAGGAUAUAUUUUUGGAUUUUUAUUUUCCAAAUUUUUUUAAAAAAUGUUUCCAAAUUUUAUUUUUUGAAAUUAUUUGUCUAGAAUGUAUUAUUUGUAUUCUGGAUUUGCUUUUUUCUAAAAGGAGAUUUUGUUUUUUCAAUUCUAUUUUUUGAAAUCGUUUUUCUAAAAUGUAUUAUUUAUAUUUUGGAUUUCUCUUUCUAAAAUGAGAUUUUGAUUUUUCAAUUCUAUUUUUUGAAAUCAUUUUUCUAGAAUGUAUUAUUUGUAUUAGGUAUUCCUUUGUAAAAUGAGAUUUUGAUUUUUUAAUUCUAUUAUAAAAUUAUUCUGAAAAGAAGAACAAUUAUAAAUUUUUAAACAUUUAUUAGGUGCAGGGAGCAAUUGCCUAAAAAUUGGUAUGUGUAAGCCUCAAUGCACAUAUCCAUAUACCCAAGAGACAAUUAGUUUAAUUUUUUUUUUAUAAUUUUGAGGGUGUUUAUUUCUGUACUCCAACAAAUUUCUUCCUACACCCAUCAAUUUUGGAAAAGACUGUUUUAUACUUUCUAAAACUAACUUUUGGAUUAGUCUUUUUAAAAUGUUUUCAGAGCAUACAAAAAAAAAAAGUGUUCUAAAAAAAUAUUCUAGAAUGAUUUUUCUUUUCUGGAUUUUCUAUUCUAAAUACCUUUUCUUAGAAUCACCAAAAAUUAUCAAGAGUAAUUUAGAAUCACCCAAAUAAACCAGACCCAACUAGUUUCUUCUUCCAGGGUAAAGGCUUUUGUCGUAUACAAUUUCCAAUUUCCAAUUUACUAAUUACAUUUUCUUUCUUUUUUUUAUUGUCAAUUUUUUUUUUACAUUAAAAAGGAAAAGAAAACUCUACUUUGAUAUCCAUCUUCACUAUUUUUUAAACUUUAUUUGUGCAUUCUUUGAAAUCAAAAUUUGCACUCUCAUGUUAAUUAUUCCUUAAAUGCAUCUUAAUUGUUUAUGCCUCCAAAAACUUAAUACUUUUUGUUUUUAUUCAUAAACUCUAAUGUCUAAUCUAGCAUGUUAUGCAAUAUUGAAAUUAAAGGAACCAUGCUUUUGGAAGAAAGGAAUUGACAAGGUUUUUGAGGAGAAUAAAGGGAAUUCUUUGUUCUUUAUAUAAAUGGUGUAACUACAGUUAAAUAACCAAGUAAAGAAAAAGAAAAAAGAGAACAGUGAGAAGAAAACAAGAUGCCUAUUGUGGGAUACAAAUAAUGAAUGGUGAAAGUGAAAGAAUGAUCUAAAGUGAAGCCCAAAAGCAGGUUUGUUAAGUUAAGUUACUGUAUAAUUGAUAAUCACCAGAAUCAUAUAAGAAUUUGCAGUGAGUGAGUGUGAAUGAAGACUAUGUUAUCUGGUUGAAUCCCCAUUUUCCUUUCCUUAUGCCCUCCAGAGUCUCUAGCACCUGUUUGAUGGAUGGUCUGAACUCCCUGGGACACUGCACACACUGAAAUGCUAACUCUGCCACUGCUGUUACCAUUUCCAAAGUGUUAUCAUCAGAACCACACAAAAAGGAUGGAUCAACUAUCUCAUUUAAUUCAUUGUUCAAGAUUUUUCUCUUUGCAAACUGUGCAAGAGUCUCAUUAUCUGUGCCUGCAACUAAAGUUGGGUGGAUUGAUGAUAUGAGUUCAAACAAGACCACUCCAAAACUAUAGACAUCACUUUUGUUACUGACCCUUCCAGAUAUGUAGUAGUCAGGAUCUAUGUAAGCACGAGUUCCUACUGGAAUAGUUGUAACAUGAGUAACAUGAUCUGGAAGAGACCGUGAGAAUCCAAAAUCAGCAACUUUAACAGUAAAAUUUUCAUCCAGGAGAAUGUUACUCCCUUUCACAUCACGGUGGAUGAUACUUGAGUCAUGAAGAAAUUCUAAGGCAGUUGCAGUUUCAAUGGCAAUAUUCAAUCUAGUUUGCCAUGGUAGUUUGACACUGGAAGACUCAUGAAGAUGUUUCGAAAGAGUGCCAUUGGAGAUAUACUCAUACACUAGCAUGUGUUUCUUGCGAUGGCGAGAAGUGCGGCCAUAAAGUGAGACCAGAUUUUGAUGGUGCAAGAGACCUAAGAUCUCAGAUUCUUUCAUGAAUUGCUUUAUGGUCUCUUCUGUCUCAUUCUCGUCAUGGAAACAUUUUAUUGCAACCUCUAGCCCAUCUUUAAGUUUUCCUGUUACAAUGGCAUGUCAUCAGAACAAAAGGUGUUUACAUGGUCAGUUAAUCAGAAAUAACCAUUGACAUGACUGUUAAGAUGUUUGUUAUUGAAGUCAACAAACUUAUAACAUAUUGUGAUGUCUGAUGAGAUGACAAUGUAAAACUGUUUUUACUGUCUGUGCAUAUCCUAACUUCUCUAUGCACAUUUCUUAGGGAGCUAUGAUUUAAAGUAUGUGGACUAAUUAGCCUCUCACCAUAGUAUACGCUGCCAUACCCUCCCUUUCCAAGGCAAGUGCCAAAAUUGUUGGUAGCUUCUUCAAGUUCAGCAUGGUGGAAGAUUUUCAAAGCUGAAAUGUAUGGAUUAUAAGACGUUAAUAAAACCUCUAAUCCUCAGUCUGUAAACACAAAAACACACAGAAGCCAGAAAACCAUGAGAGAGGAAAAGGGAUAUAAUAUUGUACAUUUGGUUGAGUGAGAGUUUGUUCCAUAUCUCCCUUGCUUUAUCAGACUGAGAAUCUCUAUCACCUGUUCCAUGUUUGGUCUCGAUUCUUGUGGACAUUUCAUGCAGAGAACUGCAAGCUCUGCUGUAGCAGUCAUCACCUGCUUGAUAUGAAGGUUUGAUUGGAACCCAAGUCUUGGAUCAAACAGCUCCACCAAAGUUUUAUUUUCAAUUUUUCUACUUAAAAGGGUACCAAAAUUAUUCUCCUCGUUGAGAGUCCAGUAUUUUGCCAGCUUUGAUGAUAGAAGCUCACACAACACCACUCCAAAGCUAUAAACAUCAAUUUUUACACUAAGCCGGCCUUUUGUCAAAUACUCUGGAUCUAUAUAACCACCUGAACCUACUCUAUCACUAGUAACAUGAAUGGUGUCAACAGGAACUCCAUCUGGAAGUUUGCAUGAUAAAUGAAGGUUAGCAAGCUUAGCAGAAAAGUUCACAUCUAGGAGAAUAUUGCUGGACUUCACAUUGCGGUGGAUGAUGCCGUAAUAGUGAAGAUAGUCCAAUGCAUUUGCAAUAUCAAUGGCUAUAUCUAAUCUUUUAAGCCAAGGUAGUGCAAUGUUUUCGUUCCUUUCACUUACAAAAUGUGCAUCAAGAUUUCCAUUGGAUAGGUGUUCAUGCACUAGCAGAGGUUCCUCGUGAUGAGAAGUGCACCCGUAAAUUGACACAAUAUUUUUGUGGGGUAAGUAAUUUAGGAUAACAGUUUCAUUGAUAAACUGUUGCAAUAUGUAGCGUUUGUCUUCUUUAAAGCGCUGGACUGUAAUCUCGCGUCCAUCCUCAAGUGUUCCUAAAACAAUAUAAAUAAUCAUAAGAAAAUGUUGAGCAAAAACAUGAGAUAUAGUCCUUUAACUGCUUUUCAUGUUAAUCAAAAUUGAAGUUAUACAUUGAUACUUGUUCUGGUCACAGCAAAUUGUCAAAAACCCCUCUCUUCAAAACAAUGUUUAUAUUUUGCUUUUCAGAUAUGGUAGAUUUACACUUAUUAGUUAGUGGUUAUUUGAAUGGUGAGAAUCUCUUGUUAUCAUGAGUCUUAUCAUCUAUUGAUACUAUUAUGUAUUUAGAAGGUUAUGGAACAGUCUCUUACCGUGGUACUGAUCGAUAAAGCCUUUCUUUCCUACUCCCUUUUCAAGACAUUGAUCAAAAUUAUUUGUGGCUUUUGCAAUUUCCUUGUAGGGAAAGACUCGCCACUUCAGGCUUCUGUGCUUUGGAAAUGUGUCAGAAGAUGUGCUAGUGAAGCAGCACUCAAAGAGAUCACACCUAAAUCUCAUGAGGUAAUUACCAAGAGUUGCAGGGUCGUUGGGAUGCUGAGGGUGAGUGAGGUAAAAGGUGACUGCUCAGAAAUGAAAUUUUCUCUGCAUAUUAAACUCUAUGACGUCUAAUUCCUGUUCAAAUAAGAUCAAAGAAUUGGAAUUUAGUGGAACAAGAUGAAAAAUGUGAGGAUCAGCUAAAAUAAAAGGGGUUGUUCCAGCUGGUAACAUCCUAUUACGCCAAUGACUCUCUUUGUGGAUAUACAACAACAACAACAACUCUUUGUGGAUAUACGACUGCUACUAGUUGAUCAACUUCAUAUGACUUGACCCAUAUAAGAAAUUUAGGUGGAAUAAGAGUAAGAAGUUACCAAAAAAGUACAGUUAAAUUUAAGAGAAUAGGUUUUAGAUCAUUACAGAAAAUUACUCCUUGAAAAGAAAACUUUUAUUAUUACUCCUGAAGCACAUAUUCCUUCCUAACAAUACCUGUUUUUUUGGCAGAAACUACAGUAAUUUUCUUUAGAAGAAAAUCCCACUUCAACCGGACAAGGCCACUAUAAGCUAUAAAACAACUUUCUCUCUUUGUAUUUAACAUAGUUGCAUACUUAUGACUUGGGUUUAAGAUACCAGAUUAAGCUAUAACAACUUUGUACUAAUUCAUGCAGGUGGUUGGUGAUAACACCUGAUUGAAUGGUUAUUUCUCUCCUGAUUAAAAAAAGUUAAAACAAAAGUAAGAAAGUUAACUAAUUAGGACUUAACUAAUUCAAGUAGGAUUAGCACAAUAUGGAUACUACGACAUGUGUAAUUGAAAAUGUCAGAUAGAGGAACACAUAUAUUAAUCAUUAUGAGUUAUUUAAAUUUACAAUCAAUUAUUUUUAUAUGUUCAAAAUCAUCUACAAACAAGAUUAGUCAAAUAUACAAUCUAAAUAUAUUGUUACCUAAUAUAAAAAUGAAUUUAUUUUAUGUAUCUAAAGUCUACAAAAUAAAAGAGGAUAUAAUUCAGUUCAGAUAUUUCAUCUUCUUAUUGACCAUCAUCAUUUGAAAAAGACAUUUUAGUCAAAAUUCAUUUAAAUACAAAUUAACAACUUCAAAAAGAUUCCACCUUAUUUGAAGAUAUAAUAAGAGAGUAAAUAAAAAAUUCCAGUAUUAUAUAUAUAAUCUAAAUAUUCAUGAUUAUAUAAAGUGUCGUGUGUCGGAUACAAAAGUACACCAUUUAAGACUUCACACACAGUUAAACUACAAUGGAGUAUGUACUACAAGGACGUCCAAAAUGUAUUCCUUGUAAACACUAAUAAACCGAAAGAAUUACAUAAAUACAAGUUUUCCUAUACAUACUAUUCUCAUGUACAGAUAGUUUUUAUGCGUAUGUUUGUGUGCUGAGAUUUUACUUUUGGUUGAAUGAGAUGAACAACACAUUUCCACAAAAGAAUUCAACACAAUUAAGUAUAUUAUAUGUAAAACAGAGAGUAGGUUUCUCAGUUCUUACCUAAUGCAGAACAAACAAUCCCAAGAAAGACAAGGUGCCCCCAACAGUUUUUGGGGGAUAAAUUGUGUGCCCCUUUCAAAGAAUUAUCUGCCACUGAGAUAGUGAUUGAGGUGUAGUGACUCAGAAAGUCUCAACUUAGCCAGCAACAAGUAAUCUAGGAAAAGAAAUUCACCAAGGUAACAAGGCCAUUCUUGAAUGAGUGUUGUUCUAUGAAGUUGAGAACUUUAGGAUCAAGGAUAAUUUGUGUUGUAGUUCAGUUAAGAUGAACAAAAAGGGCACUGAAAAGUAGAGAAGAGAGAAGCUGCAGAAAAUGCAAGGAAGGAAUUAGGAAUUGCAGCACAACACUAAAAAAUUGAUACUCGAAUGCAUUUAUUAAGGAUGACUUUUCUACUAAAAGUGUUUUUCUUAUGACCAAAGUAUUUGUCGGUUAAAUGACAUAUAAUUAUAGUAUUUUUGAAAAAAAAAUUGAACUACCAUUUUAAUAAAGUUUUUUUUAUUAUCAUUUUUGUUUACAAAAUUAAAAUUAAAAUUUUGUUUAAAGAAACUCAAUUCAAUUAUAUUCAUAAUACUACUAAAGAAAAAUAUAAAUUUAUUAAUUAAAAUUUAUUUAAAACUAUAAAUUUUAUUUAUAGUUUUACCUAUAAAAUUAUAGGUAAAUUUUAUUUAAUAAAACGCGUAAAGAAAAAAAAGUAUCUACAGAAAUAUAUUGUUAGCUGUUAUCCUUCAUGAAGUAGUACCGAGUCAAUGAAAAAGACAAAUUUUCUAAUAAAAUACAAUUUUCAAUUGACCAAGAAUACAAAGUUCUUUAUACUCCACACUGGAUAAAAAUGAAACUCGGAAAAAUCUAUAUUUUGAUAUAAAUUUGUGCCAAAUUAAUUAUGAAUUCUCCUGCUUGUAAUUCUCUUGAGAAAAACAACUUAAUGUUAAAAUGCUAAAUUUUCCCAUGAAACACAAGAUUAUAGUAAAUAACAAUAGUAACUUGGUUCUCAAUAAAAAAUUUGGUGUUUUCUUUCUGUUUUAUAUUCAAAUCCAUUAAAAUCUUUCCCAACCACAAAGCUUGAUUGACAAAAAAUGUUAUUACUAUGAAUUGUGCUUUAGCACUGGAUUGAGACACUCUCUUGCUUCUAAAACAUCAUUAAAAAACUCUUGAUCUAAGAAUAAAACAACAUGAAGUAAUUCUCAUCUCAUCAACAUGAAGCCAACCAUGCAUUAUUUCCUGUCACCAAAAGAUCAUCAAGAUAAAGUGUGAAACCAUCAGAACAUCAUUGCUCUUAAUAUAAAGAGUGGCAUAAGACAAGGUCUUUUUAAAACCAAUGCUCAACGAUUGGUUAUCUAUCCUGCUGUAUAAGCUCAAGAACAUCAAGUGCUAACUCUUUUCCGCUCAACUGCAAAGAACACUUAAUGAUGAUAAUGUUCGAGCCUCUUGUGCCAUAUUUCUGUAAGGUUUUCCUUGAGAGAGAAAACAACUUGCUCCUCCUCCAAUGGAUUUAGAGAAAAACUUUUUCCUUUCAUUUUUACCUUGAAAAUAUCUGACCAACAACAUCUUUGAUUAAGCAAUAUUUGUUGACAUUUUCUUGCUUCAAAUAUCUAAAGAGUGCCUUGUCAAAAGUCAUGUGAUUGGUAUACCCAAUAUCUACACCUUUAAAGUCGUCAUCUGUGAAGGUGAUGGGUGACAUCCUCGGUCCAAAUGUCACCGCCGUUCACCUGGUGUACUGCCCGAAGGUGUUUCUUUCAAGCGUUGUUUGUACUCCCUCCACCGGCGAAGCUGCCGGCUAAUGGUGUUGAUAACCUCGCGGUUUCUUCUUCUUUUGGCCUCCCGAGGCAAAUCAUCCCUGCGAAGAGGGUCGUCUCUCCGAGACCGGCGGUCUUACCUGCGAUCUUGGUCAUCUCUGGUCUACGGAGGUGAGUGUCUUCUCUUGGAGGACUAAUCUCUGCGUGGGGAGUGCCUUGUAUCUCAGCCACCCCUGACGAAACGGCGUAGGUGUCCAGCUUGAACGAACUCCUCAAUCUUGUCCUUCAAAGCCUGACAUUCCUCAGUGGUGUGCCUGCUAUUCUGAUGAUACAGACACUGUUUUUUCGGUCGGCGUUGUUAGGGUUGGCCACCUUCCUGGGAGGAGGGAUCAACUCGGCAUUGAGUGUCUCGUCCAUGAUUCUUCCCCUCUCGGCUGUCAGGGGGUGUAUCUUAAGAACCGGCUCCCUCAGUCCCGAUUAUCUCUGCGUUUGUCGCCUCGUUGACCUGAUCGGCCUUGGCGGUCCUUCUCAUCCUUGCUCUUCUCUUCGCUGGCCUCGACACAGGCCUGGUUGCGAAACACCCUGAGUUCCUCCAACUACAUGAACUUAACAGCUUUCUUCCUGAGGUCGUCCAAGCUGGUGGCUAGCUGUAUACACAAAUUAUCAGCAAACGGUCCUGGACGCAGGGCUGUCAACAUAUGGUGCAUGACAACGUCCGGGCUGAAAUUUCAAAUACUCAUUGCCACUUUGCUGAACCUAUCAACAAAGGUUCUUAGUGACUCUCCCUUCUCUUGGCAGAUGCCUACCAGGACAAUGGAGGUUAAGUGGUGCGACCUGCUGGUAGAAAACUGAGUCUCAAACUUCACCACAAGUGUGGCGAAGCUAUCAAUGGAGUUGGGUGGGAGCUUGGUAAACCAACUGAGGGUUGCUCCCUUUAGAAAUGUAGGGAACACUCCCUUUAGAAAUGUAGGGAACACUCGGCACAACAUUGCAUCGUCUGAGGUGUAGAGACUCAUGUGGGUAGUGUAGGCAUCCAUAUGCUCGUCCGGGUCAAUGGACCCAUCAUAUCGGUCUUUGUUGAAACCUUUCCACUUGUCCGGCAGUGGAGCUUCAAUAACAGCAUUGGUGAAGGGGGUGUCGGCGGGCCGAGUCCAUCGAGACGGUCGUCCUGACCGACUUGUUGAGACAGGAUUCACCAUCCAUCUCAUGGGUGGAGACCUUGUCCCUUGUCUCCUCCACCGGUCUCGGGUUGGGAGGGGAGGUGUAGGACUUGCCGACAAUAUUAAUCGGUCCAGCAGAUGGUCCUCUCUCCAUCAGUUUCUUCUUCAUCUCUUUGUUCUCCCUUCGGAGAGCCUGCAUUUCUUGUUCGUUCUUCUGGGCAACUUCUUCUGCCUUCCUCUUCAUCUCGACCAUCUCUUUCUAGAGAGACAACAACAACAUUGUCUAGUAAGCUUCGGUCAUGAGCGUCCGAAGGACGUCCAUUGUAAACUCAUCAAAGGGAAGAGAAACAUGUAGGUCCAAGAAGAGACACAAAUACAUGUAGAAAAAGGGGGAACCGGUACCUGGUCUCCCCAUGCAGACACUCUCGGUGGACGAGCAAGGCACAAUGCUAAGGAAGCUAGAAUGCCCGCUCGCCUUUAAAACUGGACAUUUAUCCAAAAAAUUGGAUACAAAAGGCUCGGUCUUAUAAAAGGACAAGAUCCCAACUACCUUAGAGUCCACUCAACUAAGGUCCACCAGAGGAACACCCAACAGGGGAGAGUUCGAUCGAUCAACAACAUUGGCCGGAUCAUCCCCCCUGACAACCUCCACCUGGAGUGGCACCUCGGCCCCCCCGACCGACAAGGAGUCAGUUUUGAAGGACCCAGAAGAAGAAGAUGACGAAGAAGACAGACGAACGAGAGAAGGAGAGGGAGGAUCAGAAAAGGACGUGGGUUGAGACAAGGUUGACAUAACUAACCUUAAACAGAGCCGAAGACUGAGGCAAAUCAAGAAGGCGAUAGAGCACUCGAUUAUCCGAACAAGGGGCGAAAGAUCACUCGGCUAUCAGAGAACUCACAAAGAAAAAGCACAGUGUCUCGACACUGUUGGGACCACUAUUUAUAGGGCCUAAUGACCUUAGAAUACGAAACGACGAAAUGAUCUCAACCGUUAGAUCUCCUGGAUCCAACGAUCAACAAUGCCUCGCGCCCAAAAAAACCCCUCAUUAAUGCGGGUCAUGUCACGCCGCCUGAGGUCACAUCACACCUCGGGAAGUCCAAUAGUCACACACCCAAGAGGAACUAACCGACACCCACCAUUAAAGACUCCGCGAAUACAUCCAUCAUCGAGACUGAGGGCAAGUGUACUAGUAUGGGACGGGACCAGGCUGACCGAGACCCCACGGACGGCCUGACCGAUCGACAUGUUUAACCAUUAACGCUCAAACCAAGACCAGUGAAGUUAAACUACCAUGAAGAAUUAGGUAAUACAACCAUAAGGGUGAUCCAUUCCAUUAUUCGAACCCAAUAAGGUAAGCUCAUUAAAAUAAUAUAAAUAGCACACAUUCCAAGAAAUAAGGGGUACAUCAUUAUCACGUUACACACCCGAGUGUCUUCUACAAGUAUCUCCCCCAUUGAGAGUCGAAGGAAUAGCACGAAGACCGGGAGAACCACAGGAAAGUUUUAGUAGAUUGCCCGAAGAAAGGAAGAUGACGAAGUUUUCAAUAGUUUUCUAAGUCGCAUCUUCCUAGCAUGAAAAUGAUGUGUUUUAUAAAUAGCUUAGUUAAACAAUUAUUUAUAUUUUCUUAUAUUACUUAUACUUAUUGCUUAUAGUACUUAUUUUAAAAGUGAAAAUAGGAUAUAGGAUAAAUCACUACACACUGUAACUAAAAUAAAAAUAGAAAAAAUAUCAAAUAUAACUUUAUGAUUCACAAUCUAUUCAUUCCAUUAAAAAAAUGCAUAUUUUUUUAUAUUUUUGAAUUUCUAAUAAGUUAUUAAUCUAAUGCAAAAUAAAAUGAUAUUUUCUGUCUAUCAUUAUAUUUAUAGUGUGAUGAUUGUAGGAAAUUGCAUGGCAAAGAACAGAAAAGAUAUUCCAAAGCAAUUCGCGGUUAUCAUAUCCGUUUCCAUUUCCAAACAUAUAAAAUCUGGAAUUGCUUGGUUGACUAUUGUUAGAGGAUAUCUAAAAUAGCUGAAACAGAAACAGAAUACCUUUGUCAAGUUUUGUUUAGAACUUUUAUUCACAUACUUUCGAAAUAUAAACACAUAUCUCGUGUUAUUCACCGUAUACUAUUAAUUUUAAAAAUGACUUUUUAUUUCUGAUGGAAGUUGGCUAGCCUGGCUCCAUGAUGACGGAUAACUUCGAGAAGAUCCAAAAGGAUUGCCUCCUAUUUUUACAUAUAAAAGAUGUUACAAAAAAUUAUUAUGAAGUUAUGGUAGAAUUAAAGGCAUGCUUCCUGACAUUUUAUCAUAAACAAGUGGAAGGCAGCAUUUUACCUUAACGCAGUGGUACUCUUCAUAACGAGUUUUCACAAAGCAAGAUAUUAGUAUCUGCAAGAGACCAAUAGUAAGAGAAUGUACGCUGAGAAAAAAUAGUUAAAAAAAAACUUAUGAAGAAAUAUGUUUCUUGAGACAUUGCAAAAAAACAUAAAAUUUUGCAUGUAAACAAAUUAAUAAAACGGACACAAACCCUAAGAUCAGGAUUAAUAUUCUCCAAAAUGACCAUUCUAUGCAAUUUUUGCGAUCCUAUUUGAGGAUUUUUGGACAAAACCUUGCGCAUAUCAGCUAUAAUAUUCUGCAAGAAAAAAAGGUACCUAGAAAACAUCAGCUUUCACAUUAAAAAAAAUGCAUAUAAGAGUCAUAAAACAGGUUUUUAAGCAUGUAAUCAAAUAAUGUUCACCCUAAUUUUGCUAAAAUCCAAGUGACUGAUAUCAAUGUAAAUCUUGAUACGCCAAUAAGAUUUUCUUGCGGAGUUCUUUGUUUCUGCAUGUUGAAUUAAGCUGAAAAAGAAAAAUACAACCUUAUAACAUUAUAAUUUAACCAAUAUGCAGGACCCAAAACACUUAAGAAAGUAAUAAAAUUAUAUCAAUACCGUAAUAAGCAGUAACCAGAUAAAAUUAUCACAAAGUCCGAAAGCAACGUCUUCACCACCGGCGACUUAGGUAGCACUACUAGAUUUAAUACCCUGAAACAAAUGGAACAAAUAAUUAUAUGACACCAAUAGUGGUGAGCUGAUAUAACAGUUCUGUAAGACAAUAUAAAAUCUUCUACUGGGAUCAAUUGAACCAAAAUAUUUCCUUGUAAAGGAUCAUAUACCUGAAUAAAUGUAUAAAAGUAAAUAAUCUAUCCGUAGAGUAAUGUAUUAAAUAAAAAAUUAAGAGGGAGAACCAGAUCAUUUAACAGGUUGACAUACUGCAGAACAUGUCAAAAAGCUAAAUAAAUAGAGACAAAAAACAGAGACGGGGUAGGAAGGCAGUUUAACUGCCAGGCACUAAAAGACUGAAAACAAGUGGUUUAAACUAGAGUGAAAAAAAAAAGCAAGUAAUAAAAGAACAUAUAAUGAUUUACCACAAUAUUAUAUAUAAGUAUGAAGAAUGAUAGGAACACACUUUCCAACAUAUUAUUCUGGACAUACACUCUCCCUGAGAUUCUCAUUACUUCAAAUUUGUUAGAAAGUAGGAAAUAAGUCUGUUGUUAGAAUUUCUCUGAUUAAGCAUAAGCAUAAGCAUAAUUGUAUAUACAUGUGACACUGCUACAAGCUAGUAAAAGCAAAAGGUCAAGUGAGAAACCAUAUACAGGUAUGAGCAUACAUAUCCACUGAAUUGGGAACCUUUCUAGAUUAAGGAAGGGGAAGCUGACCUUGUUAUAAUAAAGUAUUUCAUGAGGGGAGUUAAGGCGGACCGACAUACGAAAAUACAUUUGGAAGACACGUGCCUUAUUGGGGCAUGUAGUCUAGUAAGAUGGAGAGCCGAAUAUUGCUUCUGCCUUAUUGGGGCAUGUAGUCUAGUUAGAUGGAGAGCCGAAUAUUGCUUCUGUAAUUUCAAAGGAAAUAUCUUUAGAUAAAAUCAUCAUAAAUAAAAAGGAGGGUGUAUAUAAUCGACCAAUUCCCCUCCCAUUCUGUCAUUUAAUUUGGAGAGGAAAACCAAUCGUAGAAAAUUAUCUAAAUAUCAGCCAGCAUACCUGAGGAUGAAAACUACGGUUGAGCCCAACUACUCCGUGAGAGAAGUGCAUUGAACCUGUACAGACCAUCUGGAAACAAGUUAAUGCAAUCAGUCAGUUAAUUUCUCAAUAAUGAAAUAAUCAAAAUAUAAACAUAUAAAAUCUGCAAGAAAAUUAAAAAAAAAAACUUAACAAAUCACUCCAAUCUUAUCCUAGAAAAGAUCUCAGUAAUCACAGUUCCUAUAGUAUGACCAUAACAUUUGGCACGCAUUAAAGUUACAUUUCAUUCAACUGAUAAAAUUAAACUCAAUGACUUAUGACAAAAAAAACAGAGAGAACGCAAACAAAAACCCUAAACCCUAAAAAAAACCCCAAACCCCAAACGAAAACGAAAACGAGGUGAUUUUCGUUUUCGUUUUUGCGCUUUGGUUUCCAAAUUUCGUCAAAGUUUCUCGUUAGAGUCAUCGAGAAUAUACCAGUGCAAUAUAGUUUAGAACAAGAAAAUUGAGAAACGCAACAAUGUCAGGCGCCUUGCAUGUAGCAGAGAGAUAAUCUGACCUGAUAGAAAUUAUGUAUGCUGCUGCUGCUUCUUCUUCCUCUUUCUUUGAAGAGGUUAACAAUUUGCGGGGGAAAGAUAAAAAAAAAACCUUUGUAAUUUAAUUUAUAUACCAGUUAUACUAAUUUUUGAUAAAUAAUUAAAAUAUUUUUUUCAGUGAUAAAAGAAAAGAAAGUGGGAAAGUAAUGGAAAAAAUAAAAAAGAAUUAAAAUUAUAUUUUUUUAAUUAUUUAUUUAUAAUUAUAUUAAAAUUAUAUUAAUUAAUUUAUAUAAUAAAAAUAAUUUUAAUAUUGUAUUUAAAUUAAUAAACUAAUUAUUUCAAUAUUAUACUAAAAUAUUUAAUAAAUUAACAUAAAAAAAUUAUGGAAUUAAGAAACAUUACUUUUUUUAAUUAAAAUAUUAAUUAAUUAAUCUAUACCUAUAUAUCUAUACCUUUAUUUGUUAUCAUUUAACUGACAGGAGAGUGAAGAGAUGGAUUAGUUUCUGAUUUAAAGAUCUUCUUCUCUAUUAAAUAAUUGUUAAUAUUUUGUAAACCACUUUUGCAGGAUAAUGGAGAUAUUGCUAGGUUAAUUUUCUAAUUUAUACUGAUAUUCUUUUUUAUUAAAUAAGAUAUUUGUUGUGUCCAUUUGAAAAUAAUGAGUCAAGUAAAAUCUAUAUCUAUAACCUAUAAUCUAUAAUUUUAUAAUAUAUGUAUAAUAUAUAUAUAUAUAUAUAUAUAUAUAUAUAUAUAUAUAUAUAUAUAUAUAUAUAUAUAUACUUCUAUACCUAUAUAUAAAGGGGAUUCCCCUUGACUGCUUUUAAUUUUUUUUCCUAUUUUAUCCUUAUAUUAAUAUUUAAUUUUAUUAUUGUAUUAUGGUCAUUGUGUCAUUUUUUAUUCCCCUCUUAACUGCUCUUAAUUUUUUUCCCAUUUUAUCCUUAUAUUAAUAUUUAAUUUUAUUAUUGUAUUAUGGUCAUUGAGCCGCCAAACGUGAACAAUUUGAUUAUUACUGAGCGGUUACCACUUUCUUCAGUAGUUUUCACCGUCAUCAUUUACAUCCACUUUCUUACGAAGGAGUAGUUUUCACCAGUUAUAUCCAAAGAAAACAAAUGCUCAUAAAUUUUGACACAUUUUGAACAUUCUUCUUUCAUGCUCCAUGUUUUUCUCCUACUCUCACCCAUCUUAGUCCCUCUUCAAUCACCACUGGACAACAACAACCACCAUUGCUUCCUCCUUCUCACACUUCCAAAGCAGAGACAUGUCUCAUUGUUAUAGGAUUUGAACAUUUUUGUUUCUAUUGCUUUCUUAAUUUUUUUUAAAUUUUUGUAUGAAUCCUAAGCCCAGCUUUGCGGGCAAAGUUUGUAUAUCUACUGGUGCUUUGAUCAAUUAGAUACACAAACACUUACGUGCCUGUGUUCCCCUAGUAUAUAUAAAGGGGAUUUCCCUCUUUAAGUGCUCUUAAUUCUUUUAUUAUUUUAUCCUUAUAUAAAUAUUUAAUUAUAUUAUUAUAUUAUGGACAUUGUUGUCAUUUCUUAUUUUUUCUAAAAUAUUUAGUAUAUGUCGAAGACCUUCUUGAGCAACAUAAUGAGAUUGAAUUCGUUUUUUGAUCAUUAGUUUAACAUCAUUUACAGUUUCUUUCUUUGUAUAAUAUAAUUUUUCCACAAAAAAGGAUAUUGUUACAAUUUUGAGAGAAAGUUGGUUGCAAAAUAGUAGAUCAAUGGGUAUAAAAAAAGUGCAACAAAUCUAAUACAUAUACCUCAAAUUUUUAUAUCUUAAUUAUAAAGCAUUAAAGUUAAAUACAUAUUAAUUAUUAUUUUUAUGAUCAUUUAAUAUUUCUUAUUUGUUUUUAAAACUAAUAUUUUUUGUGAUUUUCUUCUGCAUAUAAUAAUUUUUUGGUUUUUUUAGUCUUCUCAAUACAUUGUAAUUUGAUAACAUAAAACCUGUAUUUUCUCAAUAUUGCACUACAUUAUAAUUCAAACACUUUUAACUUUUUUGCUUUGCUUUAUACUAAAUUAUAAAACAAAUGGAAAGUGAUAACUUCUCAUACUCUAAUUCCACCUCUGUAACCAUAUAAUAAUGUUUUUUCAUCAUCACUCUAAUUCAAAUUUGAACAAUAAAAAUAGUAUGUAAAAUUUUUCAAUUUUUUAUUUUAUGCAUUAUCUUAUUUUGGUUUAUAAUUUUCUUUAUGAAGAUCUGAUUUUUUUUUUUAUGUUGUGAAAAUAAUUUAAUGGGAGAUCUUUUAAAAUUAUUGUGUAAAUCAGAAUAAACAUAAUUUUACUAAAUUUAAUGAGUUUUAAUAAUUUUCAAUCAAUAUGCAUUUAAAAAAUAUAUUUUAUGACAUAAUUUUCACAAUCUAUGUUAAAACAAAAUGAGUAUCUAUAUGAUUAGUCUAUAUAUUUGAUUUAAAAAGUUAAAUAUUACUAUAAUCACUAACAAAAUUUAUUAAUUAAGACCUAAGUUUCUGUUAGUUUGAAAUACUAAUUAAGAUAAAUAAAGUAAUAAAAUAAUUAAAAUAAAAUAAUUUGUUUUAGUUGCAAAAUUCAUUAAAGUAAUUUAUCUAAUAUUAAUUAAGAUAAACAUAUUUGUUUAUUUUUUUAUGAUAUCACAAUAUAAAAAUAAAAGAAUAGAUAUAAAAUUAAAAAAUCAUUAAAAAUAUGAGAAAAAUAUGUGAUAAGAAUAUUUUAAUAAAUUAAUACUUCUUAACAAUUUCAAAGUUUAAAAAUAAAAUUUCAUUCUAAAACGUUUCAAGCAACAUUCAAUAUAAAAACCACACUAAUUUAGGUUUAUUUGAAUAACUUUAUUUAGAGAAUAAAAUUGUUGUUUCAUUUGAUAAAAAGUUAAAAAUAUUCAAAUAGGUAUAAAUGGAAUCAUAUAUGUGAAAUUUUUUAUUUAAAAAAAUAUGAUUUUUUAUUGAAAGCUAAGUGUUAAUCCGCAAAUAUACACUUCUUAAUCCCCUUUAUCUUUCUCUGCUCUUUUAAUAAUCAUUUUUACUGCUAAUUAAAUCAAAGUAAACCAUUCACAAUAUAUUGUUGCAUUCAUUUUUCUUAUACUAUUAGGUAAUAAUUUCAUUAAAAAAAUUCGAAAAAGAAUUAAAAAAAAUGAUAAAAAUAAAUUGUAUUUUAUGUAUUAAAUACCAAUCAAGUAGUCAAACUAUAAAGAAAUAUCAUUAUUUAUGAUCCAAGAUCAUACAUAUUGAAAAUUCAAACUACUCUAAAUUUGAUGAAUAGAAAAAUCCGUAAAAAUAAAAAAUGUCGAUAUAUAAUAAUAAUAACAUUAAUAAAAAAAAUUAAAAUACACAAUAAUGAUAGAAAUAAAAUAUUGGAUCCAUAAUAAUAAAAAUAAAAUACAGAUAUACAUUAAAAACAAAAAUAAAAAAUGUGGAUACAUUGGCGCGAGAGUGCCUGUGUUCCCGCUAGUUUAUCUAACAUUAAUUUAGAUAAACAUAUUUGUUUUUUUUUACUAUAUCACAAUAUAAAAGUAAAAAAAAAUAGAUAUAAAAUUAAAAAAUCAUUAAAAAUAUAAGAAAAAUAUGUGAUAAGAAUAUUUGAAUAGAUCAAUACUUCUUAACAAUUUCAAAGUUUAAAAAGAAAAUUUCAUUCUAAAACAAAGUAACUGUUGGAGAUCUCACAUCGACUAGAGAUUAGAGCCUUUCAUUUUAUAUAAGUGGGUGCAAACCUCAACCCUAUGAGCCGGUUUUAUGGGGUUGAGUUAAGCUUAAAGUCCACUUCGUAAUAGUAACAUCCAAUAUAAAAACCACAUUAAUUUAGGUUAAUUUGAAUAGCUUAAUUUAGAGAGUAAAACUGUUGUUGCAUUUGAUAAAAAGUAAAAAAUAUUCAAAUAGGUAUAAAUGGAAUCAUAUCAUAUGUAGAAGUUUUUAUUUAAAAAAUAUGAUUUUUUAUUGAAAGUUGAGCGUUAAUCCUCAAAGAUACACUUCUUAAUCCCCUUUAUCUUUCUUUACUCUUUUAAUAAUCAAUUUUACGGUUAAUUAACCAAAGUAAACCACUCAAAAUAUACUGUUGCAUUCAUUUUUCUUAUACUAUUAGGUAAUCAUUUCAUUAAAAAAAUACAUUAAAAAAUAGAAUUAAAAAAAUGUUAAAAAUAAAUUGUAUAUUAUGUAUUAAAAAUCAAUCAAAUAGUCAAACUCUAAAGAAAUAUCAUUAUUUAUGGUCAAAGAUCAUACAUAUUGAAAAAUCAAACUACUCUAGAUUUGAUGAAUAGACAAAUCUGUUGAAAUAAAAAAUGUUGAUACAUAAUAAUAAUAAUAAUAAAAUACACAAUAAUGAUAGAAAUAAAAAUACACUGAUAGAAAUAAAAUAUUUGAUCCAUAAUAAUAAAAAUAAAAUACAGAUAUACAUUAAAAACAAAAAUAAAAAAUGCGGAUACACAGGUGUGAGAGCGCAUGUGUUCCCGCUAGUUUUGAUAUAAAGGGGAUUCCCCACUUUAACUGCUCUAAAUUUGUUUCUAUUUUAUCCUUACUUAAUAUUUUAUUUUAUUAAUUUAUUUUGGUUAUUUGGAUAUUUUAUAAUUUUAAAAGUUAAUAAAACAGUUUUUUAAUUUUAAAAUUUAUUUUAUUUGGUAUUAUUUAACAGGAGAGUGGAGAGAUUGAUUAGUUACUUUUUUUUAAAGAUCUUUUUCUCUAUUAAAUAAAAAAUUAAAGAUAUUUGAUAAUAUUUUGUGGACCACUUUAGCAAAAGAGUGGAUAUAUUGGUAUAAGGGUGGGGUGUAGAAGGAAGGAAGAUGGCAUGGGCUUCUUGGAGUCAGGUAUGUAAGCCUCGCAGGUAUGGGGGGUUGGGGAAAAUUGAUGUAAAAUUGUUCAACCUGGCUUUAUUGGGGAAGUGGAUUUGGAGGUUGGGGUCGACCGAGAGAGGCCUUUGGAAGGAGAUUCUUGUGUCUAAAUCUGGAGGUUAGAGAAGUUUAGGAGAGGAAGGAAAAGGUAGGAGGUGUUCUCUCUGGUGGAAAGAUUUGAAAGAGGUGUGGUUCUCAAAGGGUUGGGGAAGAAACUUCGCAGACGACUUCAGGUGAAAAGUAGGGGAAGGGAAGGAUAUAUUUUUUUGGAAGGAUAGUUGGUUGAACGGCGAGUCUUUGAAGAGUUCCUUCCCUAGAUUGUUUUCUAUCAGUUCUACCAAUAAUGCUAAGUUGUCAGAGCUUGGCUCUUGGUCGAACGGUGAUUGGGUCUGGCACUUAUCUUGGAGAAGACUGUUUUUUGAGUGGGAGAAGCCGAUGGCGGAGCAGUUGCGUCAGCUUCUGCUCAAGGCUCGAGUUGUUUCGGGAGAGGUGGACGGAUGGAUUUGGAAGGAAGGGGAUUCCCAAACUUUUUCGGUUAAUUCUGCCUAUAAUCUUGUGAGAAAGGAUGAAGAGUCAAUUUCUUCGGCAAUUUUUUGUAAUUUGUGGAAGAGCCAGUUCCCUCUGCAACACUUUUGGCUUGGAGGUUGUUGGAAAACAAGCUUGCUACAAAGGUAAAUCUGAGUAGAAGAGGGGUUUUGGUGGAUAGCUCGUUGUGUGGUUUGUGUGGGCUGGAGGAAGAGUCUUGUUGCCAUUUAUUCUUCGACUGUAUCUUUGCUAGGCGAGUUUGGAGUUUAUGUUAUAGGUGGCUUGGGGUUCUGGUAGCGUCCCAUAUUGAGCCAAAGAGUAACUUUGAUCAAUUUAGGUUGAGCUGCGCUUCAGAAACCGGUUAAUAAUGUCUGGAACACAAUUUGGGUUCGGGUAGUGAGCGAAUUAUGGAAGCACAGGAAUAACAUAAUUUUUAAAAGAGGUGUGAGGAUGCCUUUGAAGUUUUUUCUUUGGUACAAGUAAAUGUCUGGUUGUGGGUUUCUAUUAAUUGUAUGUCAGCCUCGUUUUCUUUUUCUGACUGGUGUUUAGAACCUUAGGUUUGCAUGAGGUUAAUUAAUUGAGGUUGGCUUGUUUAGUAAGUCUGAAGGUUUUAGGCUGGUAUAUGUACAAGGGUUGAACCACCCCUGAAGUGGUUCCUAUUUAUUUAUUUUUUAUUGCCGAUAAUAAAUAAAUAAAUAAAAUGUUACUUUUAAUUUAAAUUGAUAUUUUUUUUUAUUAAAUAAGAUAUUUGUUGUGUCCAUUUGAAAAGAAUGAGUCAAACAAAAGGGUGUUGAUGGACAUUUACUUUAACUAUCCACAAUUGUAGAAUUUUAAAAUUGAUUUAAGAAACAGAUUUUAUGAUUCUCUAAUACACAUAACUCAUGUAUCCUGACUCAAUUCCUUAUCUAGUACCAUUUACACUUUUAUUUCUCCAUCUAAUACCCUUUUGUUUUUAUUUCCUUAUCUAGCACCUUUUUAUUUUUUAUUUUCCUAUCUAGCACCAUUUCAAAAAUAAAUAAAUAAAUAAUAAAUUAAUUUUUUUAUAAUUUUAAUUUUGAAUGUAUUAAAAAAUAAUUGUUUUUAAUGUUUAAAAUAGUUAGAAAUAUAAUUAAUGAAUAAAAGAAAUUAUUUUUUACAAAAUAAAAAUAAAAAAGUAAUAAAUUAAAAAUGUUUAGUUUAAAUUUUUUUUAAGAAUGAAGAAAAUAAUAAAAAAACUCUACAACAACAUAAAAGUUGAAUCUAUAAACAUAAAUUAAUAUUUAUUUUUAUUAUUAUUGAUGACGUAAUUCUGUUAAUUUCAAGUAAAAAAAUACAGGACAUAAUUAUAAAAAAAUCAAAGUCAAUUAUUAUUAAUUAAUAGUGAACACACAAAUAAUAUUGAAAUGUCUACCCUAAAUGCAAAAUCCUAAAAGAAAACUAAUGCAAAUGCUAGACUUAAUGCUUAAAAAUAAGAAAAAAAAAAUGAAAAAAAAUAAAUAAAUAUAGAAAAUAAAAACAACAACAUUUCAACCAUCCAUUAUUUUCCGUCAUCAAAAAGAUCAUCAUAACAUCAUUGCUCUUAAUAUAAUUGAUAUUGUUUCCUUUCCUUUACUGAGAUAUAAUCACCUUUUUCCAAUUUUAACUUUUGUUGACAUUUUCUUGCUUCAAAUAUCUAAAGAGUGCCUUGUCAAAAGUCAUGUGAUUGGUUUGUUGACAUUUUCUUGGUUUACUGCUCAAGAAACAAUUGGCCACAAAUAGUUGGUCCUCCUCCUCUUGAUCAACAACCUUAGCUUCUACCUUUUGCUGCUGAUUUUUUCUCUUGCAUUUGAAUACUUCAUGGCCCAUUUGAUUGCAUCAAGUAGCAUCAGGUCUCCUCCAACAUUUGAAUUGAGGUUGAUCCAUUUUCCCACAAUGCUGACAAACUUUUAUUUUCACCCUUUCCUUUGUUGUAAUUAUGAGCACUGCUAUCACUAGCUGAAUGAUUCUUCAUGCAGUUUUUCUUUUUCCAUUUCCUAACAUGUUUGAUCAUGGCUAGCAAAGCACCUUCAAGAGUAUGUUCUUCUCUCUCCAAUUGCUCUUGGAGUACCUCUCUGUUACCAUAAUUUUCUCAACAAUUCUGGAAUGUCCAACAACUUUAUCUCUGUUCGCAAUACCCAACAAUUUGUUUGAGUAUCUUUGAUUGACUCAUUCUUUCAUCCUUUAAGCUCUAUUUCCCUCCUUAAGUUAAGGACUUACAUCCUGCAUAUUUUCUUGUCUCUUUCAUAUUCUUCUCCAAAAAAAGACAAAUUUAUUUGGAUGUCUUAAAGAGUCAUAAUUCAGGUGAGGAUCAUUUAAAACACUCGCAAACAAACAUGACUUUGCCUUUGCUUUUCUUGUUUUUCUUUCAUUCUGCAUUUUAUGUCAUGGUCGCAUUUUUUAGAACCUUUUCUAUUAAUGUGAAGUUGUGAGAUGCUCCUGAAUUCAAAUAUGGCUUUGCAUGAAGACCCUCUGAUUAUGGUAACAAAAGAUGGAAAACAUGAUUGAAAGUAUAAUAUAUGUGGGAAUAUAUACAUGGUGAAACUACAGUAAUGUAUUGAACAUGAAUUCAGUGAGACGAGGAUACACUUUCAAUGUGCCUAAAAAAAGUAAUCAAGCUAGAGCAUAGACACCCUAAAUACUCCUUUACAUGCACAUCAUUUGCAAGAUGCAUGGCUAACCUCAAAUUACUAUACUAAGGCAAAACUCCAUAUCUUUUCAACCAAAAUCAAAUGAAUGGUUUGGAAGAAUCAGGCUUGUUGGCUGAAGGAACAAAGACUAUGUUAUCUGGUUGAAUCCCCAUGUUCCUUUCCUAAUGCCCUCAAGGGUCUCUAGCACCUGUUUCAUUGAUGGUCUGAGUUCCUUGGGACACUGCACACACUGAAAUGCUAACUCUGCCACUGCUGUUAUCAUUUCCAUCAUGUUUCUGUCAACACCAAACCAAAAACUUGGAUCCACUACCGCGUUUAAUUCCUUGUUCAAGAUUUUCCUCUUUGCAAAUUGUGCAAGAGUAACGUAAUCUGUGCCUUCCAUUAAACUUGGGGGGUUGGAAGAUAUAAGUUCAAACAAGACCACCCCAAAACUAUAGACAUCACUUUUGUCACUCACUCUUCCCGAUUCAUAGUAGUCAGGAUCUAUGUAAGCACGAGUUCCUACUGGAAUAGUGGAAACGUGAGUGACAUAAUCUGGAAGAGACCGUGAGAAUCCAAAAUCUGCAACUUUAACAGUAAAAUUUUCAUCCAACAGAAUGUUACUCCCUUUCACAUCUCGGUGGAUGAUACCUGAGUCAUGGAGAUAUACCAAGGCAGUUGCAGUUUCGAUGGCAAUGUUCAAUCUAGUAUGCCAUGGUAGUUUACCACAGGAAGAGUCAUGAAGAUGUUUAGAAAGAGUGCCAUUGGAGAUGUACUCGUACACUAGCAUGUGUUUGUUGCUAUGGCGAGAAGUGCGGCCAUAAAGUAGAACCAGAUUUGUAUGGUGCAACAAAACCAAGAUCUCAGUUUCUUUCAUGAAUUGCUUAAUGAUCUUUUCUGUCUCACUCUCGUCAUGGAAACAUUUUAUUGCAACCUCUCGUCCAUCCUUAAGUUUUCCUAAUACAAUGGCACACAAUCAGAAAAGAAACAGAUAUAUGCACAUGACUUGUUUACGAGGCUCGGACACUCUCUCAAAUGGCGUGCUGUUGGACACACCUAUGGGACACCAACACUCGUACGACAUUCGUAUAUUGUUGGAUUUCUAACCAUUCUAGCACGAUUCUAACACAAUUUUAAAAAGGAGAUAUACAUUAAUUUUUUAAAAACUCAAACUUAUUGGAUAAAUUUUUAUUAUGAUUAUAAAAAUAAGAAACAAAUCCUUUUGAUCAACCAGAAAAAACAUCUUUCUGCUAAAAAAACCUAAAAGAUACUUGUGCAUGUAAAUAUUUAUUGUUAAUUUAUAUAAUUCAUAAUUAUAUAAUAUAAAGAUUUGUGUCUCUAUAUCCUACAUUUUAGAGAUUAUACGUAUAUCCGCCGUGUUGUAUCAAUGUUCGUGUCAGUGUUUAGGUUAAAUAGCUAUGAAACACUGAUUUGAAUUAUGGGGACUGAUUAGGUUCUCACCAUAGUACACGGUGCCAUAGCCUCCCUUUCCAAGGCAAGUAUCAAAAUUGUUAGUAGCUUCUUCAAGUUCAGCAUGGUGGAAGAUUUUCAAAGCUGAGAUGUAUGGAUUAUCACACAUGAAUAAAAGCUUUUAUCCUCAGUCUGUUUCACCAAAAACACACAGAAGCUAGAAACCAUGAGUAAGGAAACAGGACAAAAAAUGACUUUAUUAUACCUUUUGUUGUGUUUGUUUCAUCUCUCCCUUCCUUUAUGCCAUUGAGAAUCUCUAGCACCUGUUCCAUGUUUGGCCUUAACUCUUGUGGACACUGCAUGCACAAAACUGCAAGUUCAGCUGUAGCAGUCAUCAUCCUCUUGAUCUUAAGGUUAGAUUGGAAGGCAAGUCUUGGAUCCAACACCUCCACCACCUCUUGCUUUUCAGUUUUUCUUCUUAAAAGCAUAGCAAGAUUGUCCUCCUCAUUCAGAAAACAGUAUUUUGCCAGCUUUGAUGAUAGAAGCUCACACAACACCACCCCAAAGCUAUAAACAUCAUUUUUUACACUAAGCUGGCCUUUUGUCAAAUAAUCUGGGUCGAUAUAACCACAUGUUCCAACUAUAUCAUUAGUAACAUGGGCAGCAUACACAGGAACUCCAUCAGGAAGCUUGCAUGAUAAAUGAAGGUUUGCAAGUUUAGCAGAAAAGUUCACAUCUAGGAGAAUAUUUCUGGACUUCACAUUGCGGUGGAUGAUGCCAUAAAAGUGAAGAUAGUCCAAUGCAUUUGCAAUAUCAAUUGCUACGUCUAAUCGUGUCAGCCAAGGAAGUGUGCUGUUUUCAUCUUCACUUUUAAGAUGAGCAGCAAGAUUUCCAUUGGAUAAGUAUUCAUGGACUAGCAUAGAUUCCUCGUGAUGAGAAGCAGACCCAUAAAUUGACACAAUAUUUUUGUGAGGCAAGUAGUUUAGGAUAGUAGUUUCAUUGAUAAACUGUUGCAAUAUGUGGUGCUUGUCUUCGUUGAAGCACUGGAUUGUAAUCUCACGCCCAUCCUCAAGUUUUCCUAAAACAAGGGAAAUAAACAGAAGAAAUUUUUUGUGCAUAACAAAACUUGAGGAUGUUUCAACUUGGCGUUCAAGUUUGUAUUUAUGUUGUUCAUAUAAAUGGCCAUAGCUUAGUCACUUACCGUAAUAUUCAGUGGCAAAGCUUCUUUUUCCAAGACAAUGAGAUUGAUUGAAGUUAUCUGUGACUUUUGCAAGUUUCUUGUAAGGCAAGAUUUUCCAUUUACUCUGCUUUGGAAAUGUGUCAGAAGUGCCAGUGAAGCAGCACUCAAAGAGAUUACACCUCAUUCUCAUAAGGCAAUUAAUAAACGUCAGAGGGCCAUUGGGAUGCUGAGUGAGUGAGGAAAAAGCAGGCUUAUCAGAAUUGCAAAUUACUUUGUAUAUUGAAUUCUAUAAAGUCUAAUUGUGUUCAUACUUGGUGUGGGAAGAAAACAUAUUUAAGUCUAUGAUUUAGCUAGGUGUGGAGGAACAAUUCUUGGUACCUAAAAGACAGACAUAAUUAGAGGGACUAACACCACACUUAAUCCAUCAGAAAACACAAGCAGAAGCUUCUAAUAAACUCAUUGGUGAAGAAAAGGUUUAUUGGCUGAAGUAAAACAUGCAUUAAAGUGCUAAUAUACUUGAUCCACACAAAAAACCAGCAGGGCAUUCUAAUAAACUCAUUGGUCUUUAAUAACUGAAGUAAUAUAUGCAUUAAACUGCUUAUCUUCAUCAAAGCCCUGAGUUGUAUAAUUUCUUAAUUAUGGUCAAAUUUGCCAAAGAGGAGAAUUUUCUUUAACACACACCAUCAGAAGAAAACAUUACUGUGGCCAAGGAGAGCAUCUAUCAUGUAAUCAGAAAAACAAUCACUGCAGGCAAAAUAUUCAGUAGAAGACAUGUUUAAAUCAAAUAUGCUUAGUUACUCAUUUACUCCCUAUGUCUGCACAAUCUUUACUUUUGAGUCCCUACACUUGGAAACACCUUUUAACUUGUUUUAGUCCCUAUACACAAUCUUUUUAAUCCAUUUUAUUCCCUUUGAAUGGCAGAAGAGUAUGUGUAGGGAGGGACUAAGCCAAGUAGUUUUCCCUGUAGGAACUAAAGCAUGAAAAUUGUGCAAGUACAAGAACCACAUGAGUAAUUAAAACAAACUUUCAAUAGGAACAAGUUACCAAUUAAAUAAAGGAAUUCCUUCUUUAGGACUCAUGCUGUGUACCUUCCCUUAAAACAGCAAUAUCUGGUCACUUUUCCCCCCCAGUUAAAAGCAUAUUUUGAAAUAAAAGUUACUAAAUAAGGAGAUUUAACUAGUAAGGAAUUCAUUCCUUGCAAACAUUAUUCAGAAAACAGAUGAUAACAUUGAUUUUCCUAUGCCUACUAUUCUCAUGUUUAAGUAGUUUUUUGUAUAUCCUUGUGUUGACUUGGAAAACUAUCAUCUUACAAAAGAAUUCAUCACAAUUAUGGAGUAUGCAGUACCAAGACAAGGUUUCUUAGUUCUUACCUAGUUUAAAACAAGCAAAUUCAAGAAAGACAAGGUGCCCUCAACAACUUUUGGAAGGUUGAAGGAAUUAACCUUUAGUAACUAGAAUGCUCUGACAUUGAGAAGAAGUGAUGCAGUCAGCACCACAACAUGCAAAGCAACCUUAGUGACGUGCAAAGUCUCUACACUCCCUCUGUGAGGAACAUGUAAGCGUAAACAGCAGUGGAAAUGAAAGAUGAGAAAAAGGAAGGAAGAAGGAAGCAGCAGAACACGAAUGAGUCUUCAGAAAACAUGGAAAAGUCUCACAAAUGUCUAUUUCUUAUGAAAAGAUAUUUUGAGUAUAUUACAUUCUGAAAAUAGAUAAUGAAAUCAUAUCCUUGUGUUUAUAGAAAAAUAAUUUUCAUUUUUUUUUAUCUUUUUCUUGAAAUAAAUACAUUCAAAUAUACCUUAAAUUUAUGUAUGAAUAUAUUUAUGUGAAGUUUUUAUGAAAACACAGUCUCAUUAUGGAUAUUUUUACAAGAUUGUAAACUAGUGUAUGGAAUUGAAAUAUAUGUAUAUAUAUAAAUUAAAUUUUAAAUAUUUUAUAAAUUUAUGUAUUUUAAAUUAAGUUUUUUUUAAAAAAAAAAAAAUGUUCUAUUAAGUAUUUAACAUUUUUUGUUGUCAUUUGAUUUGUAUUGUUAACGAGAUGUUGUAAUAAUUAAUUUUUUCUUCUCAUCUUCAAUUUAUUUAUAAACUUCUUCAAUCAUUUCACUUAUUUACAGAAAGAUGUUUUUGAAAUUAUAAAAAUUAUGGAAGUGCCGAAAGAAAAUAUGUAGGUGUAGAAAGAAAUAGCCAAACUGAGGGGUGUGUUCUAUUACAGAAGGACCUUAGUUAUCAAGAUAUUUGAGAAUGUAAACAAGUGGGGUUUUUUAUUCAAUUUAAAAUCGUUAAAUUGUUUAAAUUGAGUUUCUUUAAUUAUUAUACAACUUUACAGAUUUAAUAUUUUACAAAAAUGAUAAUCUACAAACAGCAAUAUGUGAAGUUCAAAUAUUAUGUACUAUUAUAUAUACCUUUAUAAUUCAGUUUUCAGUAAAUAGAAUUCAUUUGUUCAUAAUAAUAUCAUAAAAUAAAAUUUUAUUAUUGUUGGUCAUAAUUAUUCUAAUUAAAUAAUUCUUAGUUUUUUUCUUUAUAACUACGUAUUAAAUAUAAAAUUCGUUUGUUGUUUUUGUUUAAAUUUUCAGUUCCUUUUUUUUUAAUUUAAAUUACUUUUGAAAAUUUAUUUAUUUUUUCCACGAAUUUGAUAUAGUCUCCAUUUGUUUUCUUUUUUCCAUUUUUUAAUUUUAUCCCAGCAUGAGUUUUAUAGAAAUAAAAUGAAAAAUGAAAAAUGAAAAAAAGUGAUUAAGAUCUUCUCCAUAUAUAAUUUGUUUAAAAAAUAAGUUUUAUUUCAUGGACCAUUAAGGUUUUACUUUUUUAAAACUUGAAUUUGAUUCAUUUAAAUAAUUAAACUCAUUUUCAUUUCUGAAUUUGUUGACGUAAUUAAUAAAACAAGUUAAAUUUAAAUAACUUAAAUAAGACAAAUUCUUCCUCACAUACCUUCUUCUUUCACUUUUAUAUGAACGUAACAAAAUAGUUUUAAUCUUUUUAAAUAACUUGCAUCCCAUUUUGCAUCCAUAUUCUAAUUGCAGCAUUUUCAUUAUUUUUAAAAAUAUUAAUUGUUUUUUUUUAUGUUUAAAGUUUAGAUCUAGAGUUUAAUAAACCUAGUGUGAAAAAAAUAUUAUUAUUAUUAUUUUGUAUUAAUAAUUUAAUAAAUGUACUAAUAGAUGGUUUAUGUUACCCGCCCACAGAAUGAUUAAUUUGUUAAAUACCAUUGACUACAAAUUGCAAUUUGAUAUCUGCUUAAUUGUAAUUUUUUCUCUUAAUAUUUUAAGAACUCGAAAUUUUUAUUUAAAUUUUUUAAUUAUUUUGGUUUCAAAAGUUAGGCAUAAUUAAAAUUGUUUAAAAAAAAUCAAGAAUCAAAUUUAUAUAUAAUGAAAAAUUAAGAUGUUAAAAUUUGUGGAAAUAAAAUAGUGGCCAAAGUUAUAUUUAAACCUAUUUUAUUAUAAUAAUAAUAAUGAAUACAUUUGGUAUUAAUAGUGUCCCUCUUUCGUGUGACAGGCACGUGAGAGGCACGUGACAGGCCCAUGAAAUGAAUACAUAUACUUCCAUUGACUAAAAAGCCAUGUAGGACCUUUAUAAUAAUAUUAAAGGAACGUGGCAGACACGUGUUUCUCAAUUUUAUAUUAUUUAACAUGCUCUUAAUAUCCCCAUCUCAAACAUUUUUCUCAACCCAAAAGGACUUCAAAGUUUAAACAUAUUCCAUUCUCGUGGAACCAUUCAUCAUAAACUUUUAGUACUAUUUCGGAAUUUUUAUAUGAAUAACGUAAUUUUGCAUCAAAUUUUUUAAAUGUAUAUAUUUAAAAAUUACAUAAAUUUGUAAGUCAUGUUUGAAUAGCAUGACUUUAUUCUUAAGAAAGAAGUCAUUAUUUCCGAACAUGACUUUGAUUUAAUACAAUUUUUACAUAAAUCAUUAGGAUACACUAUGAUUUUCUUUAAUGUUAAUCAGUGUUAAGUUUCUUUUUUUAAAAAAAGGUAAAGUUUUAAGGGUAUAAUGAUUUCAUUAAUUGUAAAUAAUUUGCGUAUAAAGUCAAAGAGAUUCUGCAUAGAAAAAGACAUUUGUGAAAUCACUUUGUUCAUUUGUUUCUGGAAUAUAUCUAAGGUUUAUAUUUUUUUAAACAUAUUUAUUAAAUUAAUAUUUGUAAUUAUAGUUGUUAAGUAAAAAGAAAAUUUGUUUUGUUUAUUAUGUUCAUAUAUCUUUAUAUCUUUUUUAAACAUUUAAAUUAGUUUUUGUAAACAUAUUCAUUGAAAGAUUACAAAAGCAAAAAUUGUAUGAUUUGAUUAAUAUAAUCAUAGCAUAAAAAUAUAAGGAUAUAUAAAGACAAAAAGAAGAUAAUUAUAACGUCUAAUAUAUAGAAGAUAAGGAUCAUCUAAUUUGUUUGUUAUUGUAGACUGUCUAAACAUUUAAUGGUCUAGUAUGUUUGUUCAACAUUAUACAUAAGACAAUCUAGACGAUAUAGUUAGAUUUUAUUCAAAUUGAACUUAAGUUUUAAAGAGUAUGACAACUUUAGUGUAAAACACAUAAAUAAUUAAUGAUUUCACCUUUUAGAAAAAGAACUUUAACAAUAUGGAUUAAUGUUAAACAAAGUCGUGCUCACGUUCAAUAAACACGAUUUUUUCAAAGUUUCAUUAAACCAAAAUCAUGUUAUCUUUAACAAUUUUUUGUGAAAUUUUUGUAGUGAAUUGAAGUCACUAAUACUACUUAUCGUAUUUUUUUUUCAAAUAUGUCCAUUCUCAACAAUUAUUCUAGUAAAAUUAGUUUCCGUACUAAAUAUCAAAUUUCAUAAUGAUAUGUCACAUAAUACUUUUAUGAAAAAAAAAAAUCGUACUAUUUCAGCAGAUUUCAUCUUUGGUUGAAACAGAUUUCUUAGGUUGAAACUUGGGGCGUCUAGUUAAAGGGUCUUAUGAAUCGUAAUGCAUCAAACCACCCUAUUAUUACGAAGAGAAGACUAUUACAACUAGCUUACUGCGAUAAAAAAUAAUCAUAAAAAAGAACAAGUAGACAUUUCUUAUUAAUAUAUAGCCGUGUAUAUAAAGUAGCAAGAGUUAUAAUAUACGUCAUCUUCCUCCUGUAGAUUCUUUUCCCACUCAUUCAUUUCAUUUCUAAAUAAACAAUUUGACUCUUCUGAAUUUUUUCUUUAACUAAAUUUUCUUUGACUGUUCAUCACAUUCAAGAAAAUUUACAGCUAUAUAUACAACUAUCAUUCUCAUUCAUAAUCAAUAUCCUAAGCCAUGCCAAAACCCUAUUACUCCCUCUUUGCAGUGUUCAUCAUUGUGUCAUGCCAUGCUCAAACUUAUAGCACCACAUCAACAGCAUGUGCUCCUUCUAAGUGUGGCACUAUCUCCAUUAGUUACCCCUUUUGGAAGAAAUCCAGCACCAACGUUGUAGAGUUUUGUGGCUACCCUGAAUUUGGUCUUGAAUGCUUGGAUGACCAUGCCAUCAUUCGUUUUCCAACUGACACAUAUAGAGUCUCAGAGAUAAACUAUGAUGAUCAUUCAAUCACACUUCUUGACAUAGAUAUAUUGGAACAACCAUGUCCUAGGGCACGGCACAAUGUUUCCCUACAAAACCUCCCUUUUUCUUUGAGCUCCUUGGAUUUGAAUCUGAGUUUCUAUUUCAACUGCAGCUCUUACCCUUCAUCUGUUGAGCACAUAGUGUGUCUGCAACAUGAUAAGAAUCAGUCUUAUGUGUUUGUGGCUGGGGAGGAAGUUAAAAAUGGAUACGGUUGGGUGAGAGAGUGUGAGGAGCAUGUUGUGGUGACAGUGAAGGAAGAAGAGAUCGAUGUUAGUAAUUUGAUCAGUGAUUUCGGUGAUGCCAUGAAGAAAGGAUUUGUGGUUGAUUGGAGGAGAGGUGAGGAUUGUGCAGUGUGUGAGGAGUCUGGUGGCUAUUGCCUGUUUGACCCUUCCACUAAGCAAUCAAGUUGCUUAUGCAGAGAUGGCAGAACUGUUGCCAAAAGUUGCAGAAAAGGUACACUUUAAGGUUCUUUAAACAAAUUGUGGAUUCUUUUAUUGAUCAAACUCAUCACAUGAUCACAUCUUCACAAAUCUGCUUGCUUAUUAGAUACACACACUUUAAUUAUUUGUUUAUUAAGAUUUGAAACAUUAUUAUACUCACAACUAGGUUAUAUUUGGUGGUUAUUUUGCAUGCUUUAUUUGAUAUAUUUUUUGUGUUAAUUUAGUGUAAAUUAUACUACUUAUGCAGGUUUACUUUUACUACUUCGUUUUGUUCAAAAUACGAGUUCUUGAAAUAUAGUAUUUUGAGAUGUUCACAGCACAAUAGUUAGUUGUUUCGAAUUACAAUGAUUACAAAUAGAAGAAAAAAUAAUAUUGUGAAUUGUUCGGAAUAUAACGGUUAAAAGUAAAAAGAAAAAUGAGUUUUUAGACUAUAUAAUUUUUUUAUACUGACAUUACGAGACCAUUACACCAAAAAGAUGUUUACAUAUUUUUUAAAAUUUUAAUAUUAAUUAUUCCUACAGGGAAUAUGAUAUUUGGGCUAACUCUAAACUUUGAAUUUGAGUUGAAAACUGUGACUCCAAGCUUACCAAACAUUUGCCCCAUCAACAUUAUUAAAAUUACUUACUAAUUUUUAGAAUAUGAUACAUGAUUAAUUACAUUAUUUAAAAAUUAUCAGAUAACGCAAUUUUUUAAAUUUGAUUUAUUAAUUGUGUGAUGAAUUAUUUUUAAACUGAAUUGUUUAUCAUUAAUAGUUAGCUCUGUAUUUCAAAUUAUUAAUCUUAUAUCUAGUAAAAAAAUGUACCUGAUUGGGUAUAUGGGUUGGGAAUAAGGAACUGUAUUUGGGCUUGGGCUCAGGUGUUUUUAGGAGUACUAGGCUGGCCAUCUACUAUGACUAGGGGUUUCUUUCUGCAUCUCCACAAAGUUCUUUCUGCACCCCCACAAAGUUCUUCCUGCACCCCCAACAAAUGAGUAAAAGGAUCAAAAUAUCUCAUCUACUCCGUUUCAUUCUACAAAUUGAAAUUUCCAGAAAACAUUUUCUGGAAUAUACUAACAAAAUUCAAAAAAAUGUCCGAAAAGAUUUAGGAUUUAGGGUUUCGAAAAAUUUAAUUCAGAAGUGAUUUAGAGAAUAAAGUUGUAUUUUUUGAUAUUGAUGGAAUGAUGGAAGAAACAGCCCUAUGGCUAACUAGUUAGAAAUCAGAAGCCAUGCAAAUUCCAUAGUUACAACCUGCAAUGUAAAAUACUAUAAAAAUAAGUUUUCAUUUGUUGUGGUUUAACUAGUCAGAGGACAACCAUAUCUCUUGAAUGAGAAAAUAAUUAUUUAGUCUACAGAUUUUGGUUCUUUCGCUGACAUAGUAAUAAAAAUUGUGUAGACACAAACAUUGCUAUAUUUUAAUCCCCUUUACCUAACUCUGCAUCAGUAUUUCUUGAUUCCUUUCCCUUCUAUAGAAAAAUGUCUUCUUUCAGAACAUAAUAUAAACAUGUAUUAAAUAAACUCUUAGCAUCAAAAGGGAAAAAGUAGAAGGAGAGAGAGACUCAUUCUCUUAAAACCUUAUCCCAUAUGCAGUGGUAAUAAAGGGAAAAAGAUUAGUAAUAUUAAAAGGGGGUUGGUAGAGUGUUUUAGUCUUAACUUUAAUUAAUGUAAUAUCAGUUUGCUUGUUGGGCACUUAGUUUUUGACAACACUUUUCCAGCAAACUAAAUAUCAUUAUUUAUUUCGGUCAGUUCAACCCUGCAUAGAGCCAUUAUUUUAAGAUUUGCUAAACUUUAAUAAUGAUUUUUAAUAAUAUAGAUUAUCAAAGAUAAAACUCAUAGUUAGAAAAUAACACUGCAAGCAUUUACAUACAUGUAUCUAAGUCUUGUUUUAUUAAAUAUCUUGUGCAUUUACUUCUAGUUGAUCAUUCCCCAUGGUUAAGUUAGUCUUAUGCAUUGAAUAAAGUUGAUAAAAAAAUCUAACCAUGACAUCACUAACGUGACAAAGACACCGCAGCCAGUGAAUAAAUCUUACUGGUAACAUGUUUACAGAAUCAAAAUUAAGGAUCACAGUGUUUCCUUUUAAUGUUUUACUUCCAAGUUGUCAACACCAUUUUUAUGGAAGACAUCAAACUAGUUAUACGUCAUUUAGUUUGACUUGGAUAUAUAGGUUGUUGUUCUGUACUUGAUCAUUUGCCUCACCAACAAACAAGGCCUCUCACAUUGUUCCCCUGCAAAUUAAGAUCCCUCUGAGAUUUCUGUCAUGCCUCAUCCUCCUGUUCCACCUCCUUCUUCCCUCAUCAGCACCCUUUUAUUCUUCUCACUCUUGCUCCCAACAUAUGUGUCUAGUGAUGCUGAAGGGUACACAGCAUGUGAACCUUUUAGCUGUGGGAAAUUCAACGAUAUUAGCUACCCAUUUUGGAGUAAGGACCAGCAGGAGUAUUGUGGGCAUCCAAAGUUCAAGCUUGAUUGCCAACAAGACAACGUGACAAUUGACAUCAUGUCACAGACAUUCCAAGUCAUUGACAUGAAUCAAACAUCUAAGGUUUUGGAGAUUGCAAGGUUGGAUUUAUGGGCUGACCCUUGUACUAAUGAUUAUGUCAAUGUGAAGUUGGAUCCUGGUUUCUUUAGGUACACUUCUAAUGAUGAUGAGUACACUUUGCUAUAUGACUGCGGUUCUCUUGGAUAUACGUCUGGUAGUGUGAAUAUCGGAGAAGCAAUAGCAUUUAAUUGCCCCGUAGAGGGUGGUCUUCGAGAUGCAUACUUUGUGUUGAGUACUGAAGUGGUUAAUUUAUUGAGUCUGGGGUGCAAGAAUAGCAUCACUGUUUCUGCUCUAAGAGAGGCUGUGAAGGGUGAUUCGCUUGUGGGAAAUGUUCUGCAAAAAGGAUUUGAGGUUGAAUGGAGUGGUGUGAAUGAAAAUCAAUGUGAUGGUUGCUCAAGAUCUGGUGGGAGAUGUGGACACAAUGCAUCUAUGGAUGCAUUUAUUUGUCUCUGCCUUAAUCAUCAACCUGAUGAUGAUUCUUGUAACAAAAUCCUAGCAAGGUCUCCAGCAGCAACACCUAGAGUAACACCAGCAAAGUCACAGUUACCCCCUUACUCUCAAAUUAUUCCAAAACAGUCUCCAGAGUCUCCACAUGCUCCGAGUAUGUUUUCUUCCUUCUCUUGUUUUGAUUAAUACUCCUACUACAAUCAUUUUCUUUUGGAUGCUGGUAUUCAACUUUUUUAAGGAUCCAAAUACCCUAUGUGCUUGUCUAGAAACAAGUUGAGAACUGAAAAAUCGCGUUUAGGAUGUGAAAGGCCAUAGAGUUAUUAAAAUCAGCUUCUUAAAUAAAAUCAUAACUGAAACGUGGAAUCAAACAAGUUAUUCAUCCACUCUGGUUUAGGCAGGUAGAGAGCUUCACAUUCUAGACAUGGAAUGGAUCUGUUAAUUUGGUUUGCGUGUAAGGAAGAGUUGUUUUGUCAGAACAGUUCCCUUUGAUUUUUUUUCCUUCAUUCUGUUCAAAAUUUUAUAAUAUAGAUCCAACUAUUGAAGACUGCGUUAUGAGAUAACGUGUCAAAUUUUAUAAUGCCAUAUUUCUGUUCCCUAAGGGCGUGUUUGGCUUACGCUGACUUUUAAAUAUUAACAAAGUGAUAAUAAUGAGUAGAAGUUUUUAAAAGUCUGCAUAUAACAGUAAGGUAAUGGAAUGUGGCCUUUUGGUGAUUAGAUGUUAAAACUUGGUAUUUUCAUGGAAAGAUGACAGGCACAGUUACCUAACAAGCUGUACUACUUUUUUAUUAUACUUCUCCAAUGAACCACUUCUUUGCAGUUGAAUGCUUGAUUCCAAAUAAGUGAUUCCAUUGCUUUGUCCCAUAUAAAUUUGGAUGAUCCAUUGUGGGGGCAGCAUCAACAAAGAAGUGGGCAUUGUAAAUCAACACCCAAAGUAAUAAUUUGUUAAGUAGGAAGAAUGAUAUACAAUGUGUUUUCUCAUGCUACUUGAAUAACAACUAACACAAAUUUUUGCAACAUGUAACUCUUCCCUUUAUGAUGAACGCUGAUGUGUUUAUAUACCAACAUCUUACAAGCAAAAUAGAAAAAAAAAAACUGCAGAAACAUUAAAUAACAACUGAAAAGUCUUAGUUGCCAACACCUACAUGGGGGUGUUUCUCUUAAUCCCAGAGGUGGAUUCUUUGUAUGAAAGGUGUGACUUGAAAAUUAUGGGUUUGAGGCUUGAGGUUGACUCUGAAAAGUGAAGCAGCAUUAUGGUCUCAAUUUGAUUGAUGAAAUGGUGUGUUCUGAUUCUGAUUUUCCUACAACUGCUCUUGAAUAGGCGUGUAAAUGUUCCUUCUUGGUCAAUGACCUAUAUAUAUCUUUCUUCAUUGCGUGUAUAAUGGUUGAGAUUUGAGUGAUUGGUUGAUGAAUGACCUCUUAACGUAAAGUUUCCAUCAUAAAGAACGACCAUGCCCUUUCACAUGCAUCAAACUGCUUAUAAACAGCAUCUCAUGCAUUUAUAUUUAUACGAAUAAGCAAAAUUAGAAUGGUCUUGACAGAGGGUGUGGGUCACAGCUUUAAUAAAACGUCACAAAUUUCAUAAAAUUGGACAACUUCAAAACAGAGCAGAGACCUAGAACAAACGGAUUUACGAAGAAAAACCUAAUUUUCUAACUGAGGUUAGAACUAAAGUAAGAAACAGAAAUUAGGCGUAGGUGAUGUGUAAUUCGUAGUCUUUGGAACAGAAAAUAUUAAGAUGAGAUGAUAGUAUAGAAAUUUAUAGAGAAAUGUAAUAAAAAAAUUGAGUAGAAAUGAUUCGAAUAAGCGUUGACCGAAUUCUUUGAAUGAGGGAGAGAGGGAGAGACCGGGUCGUGUUUGGGGAAUAGUGAAAUGUAUUUUGUUUGGAAGUGAAGAAAGUAAGAAGAAAGUAAGAAGAAAGAAGAAGGUAGUUUCGUGAGAGGAGUGUUUGGAUAAUUGGUAUGUAUGACGGUGUGAAGAACUGCUUCUUCUAUACCCUUCAUUUCUCUGAGAGAGGGAAAUGAGAAGAACUACGAUAAUGAAUGAGAUCCACACCACACUCACCCUCUCUUUCUUCCUCUUCAUCGCUUUCCCAUACUCCCACUCUCAAUCACCGCCACCGCCACCGCCUUGUGCUCCACAGUCAUACAUGUGCAGCAUAAACGUUUCCGCCACCGCCAUCCUGGAUCCUUUCUGGGAAGAGAGUCCAGCGUCUCAAUGUAAAGGCGCCCACCCAUCAUCCCAGCUCAUCUGCUAUGAUCCUUAUGAAUAUGAUCGUUAUGAACAUCAAAAUUUGACGGUGAAGGAUAUCGACCACACCACUCACACCAUGACACUGGUACCAACAGACACUGUCAAAGAUGUUUGUUCU